rnacentral:lncRNA from 1 species
CCGGCUUCGAGCAUUCUGGACGCAUCCUGAUGGGGCCCACAUUCCUCAACUACUCUGUGAGCUGCUAUUACCAUGAUGGGCACCUGGAGCUCUCCGGCCGGAGCUGGCACAACAGUGAGGCUUUGUUGUGGGCAGGGUUCCCAGGCGAGGCCUGCCUUAGUGCUGAGCUGCAGAUACACGAGACCCAGACCCAGGCCAGGGUGGCCCUCCAUGGUGGGGACAGUGGAGUCAGCAUGGACCUGGCAGCCCUGGUGGCUCGGCCACGACGUGGCCCACUGCAGCUGGUGGCCAGUGCCAGCCACACAGUGCCUGCUCUCCAGAGGCUGGGCCUGCCCUUCACCAACCAGCUCGUGUUCCAAGGACUCUGGGAGGCAGAAGAGAUGAGCUCCUCACUGCAGCUGACCUGCGAUUCUCAGGCCACCUUGGUCCUUGACGUCCGUGGCCAGAACCAGGCAGUCAGCAAAGAGCUGCUGUUCUCAGGCCGGCAUCGCCUCCCCUUCCUCCUGGGUCUCUGCCCCAGCUCAGCCUCAGCCUCAGCUAAGCUACACUACUCCAAG